UCACUACUCCCUCCGUCCAACAAAAGAUGUCUCAAGUUUGUCAAAAUUUGGAUGUAUACAUGACUUAGUGUAUAGAUGCAUUCAAAUUUAGUCAAAGUUGAGACAUCCUUUGUUGGAGAGAGGAAGUAGGUA
rfam:Brachypodium distachyon strain Bd21 chromosome 2, whole genome shotgun sequence.